rnacentral:lncRNA from 1 species
CUCCAGCCAGAUCCAGCUUGUAAGCAUGCUCCUUGUGGGGUGGGCGCUGGAAAUACGAAAUGAAUCAGGGCAGUAAGACCCCGUAAACACGACCAGGAGAAUCUCACUGAAGUCUCUGUAACCCUUUGCAGGGCAGACUGGUAAUUCUUUAUCAGAGAGCUGACCAAGUUUUGGGUGACAUGGCCCAGGGGAAUAAUUAUGGGCAGACCAGCAAUGGGGUGGCAGAUGAAUCACCCAACAUGCUGGUGUACAGAAAGAUCUAGGGAGAAGGAGAAGAUGGAGGUAAUAAGCCUGCUCCUCGGAGCCCUGCUUCAUCAGCAAGAGUAACAAAUGGCAGAAGCUGUAUAUGGCACCUCUUCGUUUACAGAAGAUGGACAGUGUAUCUUGGAAAUGCACUGCUAUUUAAGAGAAAGAUGAUAUUUAAAAUUUUGUAUAUUAGCCAGAGCUUGUUAUAUUCAUUGGUACAUAACAGUAUCAAAUAUGUUAUAUUAUCAUAAAGUCAGAUAAUUUAAUUUUUCUCUCCUCAUUUUCAAAUUAUUGUAUUUGGGAAGUUUGUGGUGUAUAAGAAUAUAUAUAAUUUAAAUGAUGAAAUUAGAUAUGUAAAAUCCCUUGUUUUUUGUUUUAUAUCUUCAUAAAAUGUAUAUUUCUAUUUUUUUCUGUUAGUAGAAUUUAGAAAUUAUUUUAUUUCUUGGCUUUACAAAAUUGAUUUGUGUCCUUUGGAAUAUUGUUAUAUUGCAGCAUAAAAAUUCAGUCUGAAUGAUAUUUGUGAUUCUGUUUUUAUUUGUCCCUUAUGUGGGGAUUCAUGAAUACAAUGCUUUUACUUUGUAUUUUGUAGAAGAUUUUGCUAGUAAAAGGUAAGUCUGUUGGUGAUAUGACCCUAUGGCACUGGUACUGAGCUACUGCAGGGCCUAAAAUGACUUUCAAACUAAUAUCUUCAGUAGUAGCCAUGUUGGUAUUUGUCAUCCUAUGCAAUAAGAACCUUGAAGUCUUUUGAAGUUGGAACAGAAAGAACAUCUGAGAGGUUGCUUUUCAUCAAAGCUCAGUUUUCCCACAAGAGCAAAUAAUUGAAUAUAGGGUGGCAGAUGUGCUAAUUCCUGUUUAAGUUUGUAUAAGAGGAAUAUUCAAAUAGAAUAUUUUCAUGCUCUUUUGUAUGAGAAAUAAACAAGUGGCAGAUAAGCUGCUAUCAGAGAUUCAUCCACUCAAACAAUUUGUGAUGUCAGUGACAGGGUGAGUGUAAAGCCAGCCAAUGUCUUACAUAUCUGAACAUUUCAAGUCAUGGUAGAGGAUAUGUGCAAUUUUGUGGAGAAAAGAAAUGAUUAUGAAGUGCCUGCUCAGUUAUUUUUAAAAAACCCAGUAUUUCACCUCUAGUUCUGUUAUUGUACUCUUAUUGUAGGCUGUUUGCUGGGAGGUGCUCUAAACAUGAAUACGGUAUGGUAGAGGUGGCAAGACAGAUGCAAACCAGAAGAGUAAGAGUGGUGAAGACAGAGGUCAGAGCCUCAGGUGGAAUACCUGGACAAGUGACAUAGGGCAGGGCUUUGAUAGGCUGGGUUUGAAUAGGUGCAGUGGGAAGAAGGUAAGUGUACUGGAAGAAACCCUGUGAGAACAGGCAUGGAGAUGGGAGAGUUGUCCAAGAGCCCUGAGAACAACAGGAGGUAUUGGGAAAGGAUGUAGAUUUUAUAAGUGAAAAGUGGCUCUAGCAAAGGGGACAUACUAUACUGGAGCCGCUUGUGAAGAGCAUGAAUUUCAGACCUGUGGUGUGCACUUUAUUCCACAAGUAAUUAGAAUUAUACACUGUCAACCAGGGAGACAUUUUAAAGCUGUUUUAAGAUAUCUGUCUGGCUAAUAUGUGUGGAAUAGAUUAUAAAUGUUUAUUUAGGAUUAUAGGUAUUAGUUCCAGGUACAAAUUGUUCUUUAUGGGUGGGAGUAAAUAUAUAUGUGGUAAUUCUCAGACAUAAUUGGAGCAACUACAACCUCAUGUACAACCUACAAUCUUCAUUUUGUUCUGCAUACAUAACAGGUGAAAUAAAAGUUUGGAAGAGAUGGAAUUUGAAAUAGUUUAAAAAUUGAGCUUGUGAUGCUGGUGGAAAUUUUUCAUUAUGCCUUCAGAAACUGAAUCAGUUGUACUCACCCAACUUCAAAUAUAGAUAGCCACAUGGAGCCAGA